rfam:Danio rerio chromosome 9, GRCz11 reference primary assembly.
UGCCACAGCCAUGUCACCCUGCAGCCCAAGACCGGUUACUCACUGAAGCUAAGCAGGGCUGAGCCUGGUCAGUACGUGGAUGGGAGACCACUAGGGAACUCUAGGUUGCUGUUGGAC